ensembl:lncRNA
GUGAUGUCAGGACAUUAAAAAGGGAUUUAAAAAGACCUCUAUAUGCAGAAAUGAGUGUCUAAAGAUCAGCAAAAUUCAAAGCAUGCACUUCCAGUGGGUCAUGAGGACCAAGCAACGGUAAAUGAAUGGGAUUGCAAAUGGAUCACUCUCUCCAGAAGAUCCAUUGGUGAGCAAGUGAUGCAAUGAUACAUUUCUCCAAAUUUCUUUCCAGGAACAAAUAAACUCAUCUACAUUUCGGAUGGCUUCAGGAUAUUUGCUCACCACCACAACUCGCUCAUCUCUUUCUCCAAAAAAAAAAUAAAAAAACUAAAAUGAAAAAAAUAGUCUUUUAAAUGCAGCGCUGCUGAAGAUGAGCAUAAUUCAUCACUCCUCAAACCCAUCCAAACGCUCUUAACCUCAGCUUUGCCUCUAGAGCUGGACUCCGGCCAAGCCAUGAUCAUUCCUCCGGAAUAUCCUCAGCGCACGGAAAGGACAUCAACAAUUGCCUGAUCUUGCCAGAUUAAUUUCAGCGUCACCCACAUUCAUUUAGGAUGGACUGGGACUAUAAAACAGCCGGGGACAGAUGCUGGCCGAAUGCUGCUGUUGCAUGCUGUUAUAUAGUUCAUUUACUUCAGCAGGAUAACGUGCUAACAUGCAGCCCUGUUGCUUUUAACACAUGUGGAGCGAAUGGAGGCGACCUGUGGAGGCCACUCGCUGUGAACAGCGGCGUGUGACUGCAAGCAGACAGACUCUGUUGCUGCUGUCAGGUGGAGGGUGAAUAAUGUGCUAACGACUUAAACCAGCGGAGAGCGAGUGUGAGGACGACCGGAGAGCCAGGCGAGAAUGACGUGUUUUGCAGGACCGAGGCAGCAGA